rnacentral:rRNA from 1 species
UACAGAGGUGGCAAGCGUUGUUCGGAAUUACUGGGCGUAAAGGGCGCGUAGGCGCCUUCUAAGUCAGACGUGAAAUCCCCCGGCUUAACCUGGGAACUGCGUCUGAUACUGGAAGGCUUGAGUGCGGGAGAGGGAUGUGGAAUUCCAGGUGUAGCGGUGAAAUGCGUAGAUAUCUGGAGGAACACCGGUGGCGAAGGCGGCAUUCUGGACCAAUAUUGACGCUGAGGAGCGAAAGCCAGGGGAGCAAACGGG